CAGCCGCUGGCCGAAUAUCCCUGAGGACAGACGUGGGAGGAGACAUGGACUAUAAAUGGACCGUUCCGGGAGCAGGAGCUGAAGUGACCACCGGCAGCAGCUGAUGGAGCACAGACAUGUGACCGUGUGCCCACGCGGGGGAGCAGUGGGUGCUGUGACCACACUGCUGCUGCUAACAACAGCUCCAUGAGCUGGCGACAGAUCUAUUCUUGUCUGAGAAGCCACAGACAGACAGACAGACACCUCCUACUCCGUGGACGUCUGUGAGAAGGGAAUAUGAGCCAGCAUGGGUUAAAGGCCCAGUCUGUGAAAUAACUGGUGUGGAUUACACAGCAAACCGCUGUUUACAUGAUAGUGAAAGUAAACAACAACAAAAAUGUUCUCCCUUUUUUUCCUCUAUAUCAAUAUUAUUGUUUAUUUCGCUUAUUUUACCAGCCAUUGGAGAAUGUGCUCUUUUGUCGUUUAUUGUAUUUUCCCUGCAAAU